CUACGUAGGGUGCAAGCGUUAAUCGGAAUUACUGGGCGUAAAGCGUGCGCAGGCGGUUUUGUAAGACAGUGGUGAAAUCCCCGGGCUCAACCUGGGAACUGCCAUUGUGACUGCAAGGCUGGAGUGCGGCAGAGGGGGAUGGAAUUCCGCGGGUAGCAGUGAAAUGCGUAGAUAUGCGGAGGAACACCGAUGGCGAAGGCAAUCCCCUGGGCCUGCACUGACGCUCAUGCACGAAAGCGUGGGGAGCAAACAGUAUUAGAUACCCUGGUAGUCCACGCCCUAAACGAUGUCAACUGGUUGUUGGGGAUUUAUUUUCUCAGUAACGAAGCUAACGCGUGAAGUUGACCGCCUGGGGAGUACGGCCGCAAGGUUAAAACUCAAAUGAAUUGACGGGG
rnacentral:rRNA from 1 species